rnacentral:rRNA from 1 species
UACGUAGGCAGCGAGCGUUGUUCGGAGUUACUGGGCGUAAAGAGUGCGUAGGCGGUUUUCUAAGUUUGGUGUGAAAUCUCCCGGCUUAACUGGGAGGGUGCGCCGAAGACUGGAAGGCUUGAGUAUGGGAGAGGUAAGCGGAAUUCCCGGUGUAGAGGUGAAAUUCGUAGAUAUCGGGAGGAACACCGGUGGCGAAGGCGGCGACCUGGGUCGAGACUGACGCUGAGGCGCGAAAGCGUGGGGAGCGAACAGG